rnacentral:lncRNA from 1 species
CUGUACCGAUCGUACCGAUAUACCGGUGCGGCCGGUACCGCUAUGGUACCAGUACCGAACCGAGUCGAACCGGUAUCGUACCAAAAGUGCAAUAGUGCGUGGCACUUAGCGCCUGGCUUUAGCCACGCGCUCUCCCAUGAAGAACACCCCAUACCGGUGCGAAACGAGCCGGUUCACACUGAUACAUGCCAUGAACCGAUCGGUUCUCACCCAAAUCUGGUUCGAAACCGAUUUUAAUAGCCGUACGGCACCGGUACGAGCGGAACCGACCAUGGUAGCAACCAUAAGUCAAACAUCAAUUUAAUAGUAGAAUUAGAUCCAAAAUUCCAAUGCCACUGUGCAAACUAGUUGUUAGUAUGUUAGCAUGUUAGAUAUCAUUGAGGGCUCGUUUGGUUCGCGGGAAAAAAAAGGGGGAAAGUGUGGUCAACGGGAAAGUAAUGAUAUACCUCUUGUUUGGUUGGAGUUUUCAAAGGAGAGAGAAGGGAAAGUUGUAUUCCCAUGGGAAUGUGAUUCCCAUAUUUCA